CGAACGGGUGAGUAAUGCGUAACCAACCUGCCCCAUGCUCCAGAAUAGCUCUUGGAAACGGGUGGUAAUGCUGGAUGCUCCAACUUGACGCAUGUCUUGUUGGGAAAGUGUUUAGUGGCAUGGGAUGGGGUCGCGUCCUAUCAGCUUGUAGGCGGGGUAAUGGCCCACCUAGGCUUCGACGGGUAGCCGGCCUGAGAGGGCGGACGGCCACAUUGGGACUGAGAUACGGCCCAGACUCCUACGGGAGGCAGCAGGG
rnacentral:rRNA from 1 species